rnacentral:rRNA from 1 species
UAGGGAAUCUUCGGCAAUGGGGGGAACCCUGUCCGAGCAACGCCGCGUGAGUGAAGAAGGUUUUCGGAUCGUAAAGCUCUGUUGUUAAGGAAGAACGAGUGUGAGAAUGGAAAGUUCAUACUGUGACGGUACUUAACCAGAAAGGGACGGCUAACUACGUGCCAGCAGCCGCGGUAAUACGUAGGUCCCGAGCGUUGUCCGGAUUUAUUGGGCGUAAAGCGAGCGCAGGCGGUUAGAUAAGUCUGAAGUUAAAGGCAGUGGCUCAACCAUUGUAGGCUUUGGAAACUGUUUAGCUUGAGUGCAGAAGGGGAGAGUGGAAUUCCAUGUGUAGCGGUGAAAUGCGUAGAUAUAUGGAGGAACACCAGUGGCGAAGGCGACUCUCUGGUCUGUAACUGACGCUGAGGCUCGAAAGCGUGGGUAGCAAACAGG